CAGUCGCCGCGGGAAUACGGAGGGUGCAAGCGUUAUCCGGAUUUAUUGGGUUUAAAGGGUCCGUAGGCGGAUCUGUAAGUCAGUGGUGAAAUCUCACAGCUUAACUGUGAAACUGCCAUUGAUACUGCAGGUCUUGAGUAAAUUUGAAGUGGCUGGAAUAAGUAGUGUAGCGGUGAAAUGCAUAGAUAUUACUUUGAACACCAAUUGCGAAGGCAGGUCACUAAGAUUUAACUGACGCUGAUGGACGAAAGCGUGGGGAGCGAACAGGAUUAGAUACCCGCGUAGUCCCUGUCUCUUAUAA
rnacentral:rRNA from 1 species